GACAGAGGGUGCAAACGUUGUUCGGAAUUACUGGGCGUAAAGCGCGUGUAGGCGGCUAAGUAAGUCGGGCGUGAAAUCCCACGGCUCAACCGUGGAAGUGCACUCGAAACUGCAUAGCUAGAGUCCUGGAGAGGAAGGUGGAAUGCUUGGUGUAGAGGUGAAAUGCGCAGAUAUCAGGAGGAACACCGGUGGCGAAGGCGGUGAUCUGGGCCGACACUGACGCUGUAGAGCGAAAGCGUGGGGAGCGAACAGG
rnacentral:rRNA from 1 species